rnacentral:rRNA from 1 species
AGAGUUUGAUCCUGGCUCAGGAUAAACGCUAGCGGCAGGCCUAACACAUGCAAGUCGAGGGGCAGCGGAAGAAGUAGCUUGCUACUUCUGCCGGCGACCGGCGCACGGGUGCGUAACGCGUAUGCAACCUACCUUUAACAGGGGGAUAAUCCGAAGAAAUUUGGUCUAAUACCCCAUAAUAUUUCAGAAGGCAUCUUUUGAGGUUGAAAACUCCGGUGGUUAAAGAUGGGCAUGCGUUGUAUUAGCUAGAUGGUGAGGUAACGGCUCACCAUUGCGAUGAUACAUAGGGGGACUGAGAGGUUUUCCCCCCACACUGGUACUGAGACACGGACCAGACUCCUACGGGAGGCAGCAGUGAGGAAUAUUGGUCAAUGGACGCAAGUCUGAACCAGCCAUGCCGCGUGCAGGAUGAAGGUGCUAUGCAUUGUAAACUGCUUUUGUACGAGGGUAAAUUCAGAUACGUGUAUCUGUUUGAAAGUAUCGUACGAAUAAGGAUCGGCUAACUCCGUGCCAGCAGCCGCGGUAAUACGGAGGAUCCGAGCGUUAUCCGGAUUUAUUGGGUUUAAAGGGUGCGUAGGCGGUUUGAUAAGUUAGAGGUGAAAGCUCGAUGCUCAACAUCGAAAUUGCCUCUGAUACUGUCAGACUAGAGUGUAGUUGCGGAAGGCGGAAUGUGUGGUGUAGCGGUGAAAUGCUUAGAUAUCACACAGAACACCGAUUGCGAAGGCAGCUUUCCAAGCUAUUACUGACGCUGAUGCACGAAAGCGUGGGGAGCGAACAGGAUUAGAUACCCUGGUAGUCCACGCCGUAAACGAUGAUAACUCGUUGCAGGCGAUACACAGUCUGUGACUUAGCGAAAGCGUUAAGUUAUCCACCUGGGGAGUACGUUCGCAAGAAUGAAACUCAAAGGAAUUGACGGGGGCCCGCACAAGCGGAGGAACAUGUGGUUUAAUUCGAUGAUACGCGAGGAACCUUACCCGGGCUUGAAA